AGAGUUUGAUCAUGGCUCAGAGCGAACGCUGGCGGCGUGGAUAAGACAUGCAAGUCGAACGAGACUUUUCGUUGUAGCAAUACGAUGGAAAGUUUAGUGGCGAACGGGUGCUUAACACGUGGGCAACCUGCCAUGAAGUGGGGGAUAGCUCGCCGAAAGGCGAAUUAAUACCGCAUGUGAUCAGAAAGGACAUCCUUUCGWAAUUAAAGUCGGGGCAACCUGMCGCUUCUUGUGGGGCCCGCGGCCUAUCAGCUAGUUGGUGAGGUAACGGCCCACCAAGGCUUUGWCGGGUAGCUGGUCUGAGAGGACGACCAGCCACACUGGGACUGAGACACGGCCCAGACACCUACGGGUGGCAGCAGUCGAGAAUUUUUGACAAUGGGGGAAACCCUGAUCGAGCGACGCCGCGUGGAGGAUGAAGGUCUU
rnacentral:rRNA from 1 species